rnacentral:rRNA from 1 species
GUCUACGGCCAUACCACCCUGAACGUGCCUGAUCUCGUCUGAUCUCAGAAGCUAAGCAGGGUCGGGCCUGGUUAGUACUUGGAGGGCAGAAGACA